AUGGGUUUCAUCGUCGGGGACACGCUCGCGUCGGCGGUGGUGAAGGAGGCGGUGAACAUGAUCCGCGUCGCGGCCGAGCGCGAGGCGGGGCUGCUCUGGAGCUUCAAGGACGACCUGGGGGCCAUGGGGGACACGCUGGAGACCAUCCACGCGGCGCUCAGGGACGCGGACGCCGCCCGGGGGCCGGCGCCGGCGAGGAUGGACGAGAGGACGCGCCUGCUGCUCGGGCGCCUCAAGGCGGCGGCGCAAGACAUCGAGGACCUGCUGGAGGAGUUCGCGGACGCCGGCGCCCGGGGCCGCCGCAGCAACUGGCUCCGCGAGGGGCCCCGCUGCCGCUGGUGCUAUAAUAUAUCUCUGUCGCGCAGCAUCUUGGCUCACAAAAUGAAGAAGAUGAGGGAAAGAUUAGGACGAAUUCAAGCAGAUGCUGGCCUUGCUAGAUCCCAUGGUGGCACGAGUAGCGACCUCCAUGAUCAGGAUGAUGAUAUCAGCCGAAGAGAAACAUGGUCGGAUUUCAGAGAAUAUAUCGUGGGGAGAGAGGAGGACAGAGAAGCUGUAGUGAGCGCUUUGCUCAGGCACACCGAGAAAGAGCUCUCUGUUAUUUCGAUUCAUGGCUUUGGCGGUUUAGGGAAGACGACACUUGCCCGGCUGGCCUUCAAUGCUGAGCCUGUGAUUAGAGCCUUCGAUUGUAGGGUCUGGAUUCAUGUGUCUAUGAAAUAUGAUUUGAUAAAAAUUGGCAAGUCGAUACUUUCCAAACUUGAAGCAAAUUGUUCUGGUGAUUUGGAUCACUUGAAGACGCAACUGAAAGGAUUGCUCAAGGACAAGACCUUCUUGAUCGUUCUGGAUGACAUUUGGGAGGAAGACCCGCAUGAACUGCUGAAGUUGAUGGAUUUUCUGAAUGUUGGUGCAAAAGGAAGCAUGGUCUUAGUUACUACACGAUACGAGAAAAUCGCUAUAAACAUGGACCCUGUCCUGUGCCACAGGCUGGAGAGUUUAUCUGAUGGAGAAUGUUGGGAUCUUUUCAAGGAAACGGCCUUCGUCUCUCAAGCCAAAGAAGCAAGACUGCAACACAUCGGCAGAGACAUAGUAAAGAAGUGCAAAGGUGUUCCUCUGGCUGUGAGAUCGCUUGCAUUCGUACUAAAAUGGAAGGAAGGGGUUGAUGAGUGGGAAGAUAUCAGGGAUAGUCACCUCUGGGAAUUGGAGGAAAAACAGGAUAUAUCUUUUGAGAGUGUCCUACCAUCAUUGAAGUUGAGCUUUCAACAUAUGUCUGCCACCUUGAAAUUAUGCUUUGUGUAUUGCUCUGUCUUCCCAAAAGGCAGUUACAUUGAUAAGGACUUGCUGAUCCAACAAUGGAUUGCACUUGGGUUUAUUCGGCUUAAUGAGGCGUUCCAUCCUGAAAGGCGCGGUGAGGAGUAUGUUAAACAACUUUUGGGGAUGUCCUUCCUUCAGAUUUCAACUACACAAACACCUAUUUCCAGGAAAUGUAUUGAAGCACCACAUGUAUUCCGUUUGCAUGACCUAGUAUAUGACUUGGCAAGAUCGCUGGCGAUGGUGGACCUACUUUUCCUUGACACUGAGAGUAACCUUAAAGUUAGUUCCACACACAGUGAUUGCCGUUAUGCAGUGCUCACCAAUUGCAAUCCAACAACUCUCCGUAACAACAUGAUGAGAAAACUGAGGGCUCUCCAUGUUAACGAAUGGAAGCAAGAAAAGAUCCCUAACAAAAUAUUUUCUACUAAAUUCUUGAGAGUCUUGAAUUUAAGUGGAUGUUCUCUUUUGGUGCUGCCAAGUUGCAUCAAACAGUUGAAGCUACUGAGGUACCUUGAUGCUUCAGGAAUGCAAGAUCAAACGCUUAAUCACUUGAGCAGUCUGCAGAAUUUACAGGCAUUAAAGCUCUCAGGUAGCUUGAUUGGGGCACUUCCACAUGACAUGGGUUCUCUUGAGAAGCUGCGUUACUUAAAUCUGAGUGGUUGUUCUAAUCUUUUGGUACUGCCAGAAUCAUUAUGUAGUCUUGGAAAGUUGCAGUAUCUAGACAUGUCGAACUGCUCUGCAAUUAAGGAGUUGCCUCCACAUUUUGGCAAUCUUUUUAGCCUGUCAACUCUGGAUUUAUCAUCUUGUUGCGACUUAACAAAGCUUCCAGAGAGUCUUGGUAGCCUUCAAAAGCUUCGUGUUCUAGAUCUUUCAAACUGUUGGAAACUUGAUGCAUUGUCUGAUUCUUUUGCUAAACUUGAUCAUUUGAAGGGUCUAAAUUUGUCAUGUUGUUAUCAACUUAAAGAGCUACCAGAACUAUUUGGCAACCUUGAGACUCUGGAUCUGUCAGAUUGUCACAAGCUUCAGAAAUUGCCUGAAUCUAUUUCUGGACUUAAAAAUUUGAAGGUACUAAUUCUAUCUGACUGCUGGGAACUAACUGUACUUCCUGAGUCAUUCGGGAAUCUCAAACAACUCCAGUAUCUAGACCUGUCAAGUUCUCAGAUUUCUGCAUUGCCUGAAUCUGUUAGUGAACUUGUCAAUUUAGAGCAUAUGAAUAUAUCAUGGUGCACGGAUCUUCAUAAUUUACCUGGUAACUAUGGCAAUUUAGUCAAACUUGAAGAGCUGAACAUGUCAUACAUUGGCAAUGGUAAUGUCAACAUUCCGAAGGGAAUAGCUGAAAUGUCCAAUCUCAAGAUUCUGCUGGCGGAUGGCCUUAUCAAUUGGUCAUGGGAAAAUGAAGAAGAUAUCGUGUUCUUUAAUGCUUUAAGUAGCUCCAGGUCUAGUUUUUUCUUUACUGGGGAGAAUAAACCAAGUGAUUUAAGCAUAAAGGAUAAUACUCUUCAAGUUGGAGAUCUUGGGCGUGUGCAGAAUCUUGCGGAAGUUGAGGAACUGCAAUUAUCGAAAAGGCGGCAGCUGCGCUCACUGAUUGUCUCGGGGCAUGGUUAUGGGACUGGUACAGAACUAGCACAAGAACUUGUGCCUCAAGAGGCCGUGCUUGAGAAAUUGCAACCUCCAAGGACACUAGAGCGGUUUGAAUUGUUGGGCUGUACUAUUUCUACAUUUCCUAGUUGGAUGACAGACAUUGCAUCUUUCCUCCCAAACCUUGCUCACCUUGAACUACGCCAUCUGGAAACAUGUGGCUGCCUUCCACCCCUUGGACAACUGCCUAAGCUACAUAUGUUGGUGAUAUCUGACAUGCCUCACAUCAAGGAAGUCAAUCAAGAAUUCUCAGGGGGUGCUAGACCAUUUCAGAAGUUAAGAAACAUUGUGAUAGAGAAUAUGCCAAACCUGGAGAAAUGGCACACAGAUGCUACUGUAAGUGGCAAUGAUGUGGAAUUCAUGUUCCCAGUUCUUCAUCAUGUGAAGAUACACAAAUGUCCAAAGUUGAGAUUUCAGCCGUUCCUUCCUCGAUCUGUGUCAUUGGAAAUUUAUAGAAGCAAUCAAGUUCUAUCGUCAGGAGUUCGAUCAAAUGGCCAUUUGUAUUACAUGCCAACAAUAAGGGUGCUGAUCGAUUCCUGCACACUAUCUUCUGAUGGUUUGAUGGGGUUGCAGUCUCUUACCUCCCUCAAGUUCCUCGGUGUGCGCCACUGCAAAGGUCUGGAUAACUGGAGAGGUAGCAUUGCCAUGCUAACUUCACUGAAGAGUUUAGAUAUAGCAAUGAGCAGUGUUCCUGAAUGCUUGGGAGGCGUCACUUCACUGGAGUGUCUGAAAAUCCACAACUGCCUAGUAAAUUAUAACACUCUAGAGCAAGUACUACAUCUUACUGCAUUGGUGGACCUGUCGCUUUGUUGUAGCCACCCGACUAAAUUAGUAAAUGACCAAGAGGUCAAUUGGUUGACGAAUAUGGCAUCCUGUCUCAAGAAUCUUGUAAAUCUUGAGCUUGACAAUUUCAUUGGCUGCGACCGACUUCCCCCCCUUGGCUGUCUAGAAAAGCUACGUUCAUUGACACUACGACAGAUGCCUGAUCUCAAGACAGUGCAUCAGGAUAUUUCCGGGGGCAGCAAUUGUUUGCCGAUGCUACAAACCCUCAAGAUAGGGAGCAUGCCUAAUCUUGAAAGGUGGACUACCGCGCAUGCUCCUGCAGCACAUGCUGCUCAUGUGAGGAUCUUACCUGAUCUUCAACUACUCAAGGUUUUUGACUGUCCAAAGCUUAAGUUUGUGCCAUUUCUUCCAGUCUGCUCAAAGUGCAUUAUCAGUGUGACUAGUGACGUAAUAGUGCCGGAGCACCAUGAUGAUCCUGCUCCCUGGGACAUGCCCACAUCAGAACUAUUCUGCUUCUAUUUACAUGGUAGAUGCACAGGACUCCAAUACUUCAAAGUCCUGAGAUUACUAUCAGUUUAUGGCUGUACAAAUAUGAGCAGUUGGCAAGAAAGCAUCCUCCUCCUUACCUCCCUUCAGAAACUGGAGUUGCAUGGGAGUGACAUGCCUGGAUGGUUGUGUAAACUCUCCUCACUGCGUGAACUUCACAUCAUAAAGAGCAAACCACCGCUCAACCUAUCCCAGUUUGUUUAUGAUCGUCACCAGAUUGCCUUGAGAAUCGAGGAUUGCCAGGGGACACUCAAGCAGGUGCCUUCUGUGGUGAUUUUGGACAUGAUAAGACACAUUACUUUUGUGGAAAUAAUUGGUUGUGAGCCGAUAAUGCAUGCAGAGUGGCGAAAUGGUGAACUCUUCAAGUGCAAACUUCGAAAGUCCAGUGAGUGGUACAUGCCGGAUGCAGAUGCUGGGUCACUGCCGACCAUCCUUGGCACAUGGCAAGAGGAACCGACAGAGUUCCUCUCUGGUGAUGCAGCCAACCCUGACCAACCAGGCCCUUCAGGAACCAAGUGA
rnacentral:rRNA from 1 species